rnacentral:tRNA from 1 species
GAGGGUACAGCUCAGAGACAGAGUGCAUGCUUAGCAGGCACGAGGUCCUGGGUUCAAUCCCCAGUACUGGCA